UGGGGAAUAUUGCACAAUGGGCGAAAGCCUGAUGCAGCAACGCCGCGUGAGUGAUGAAGGUCUUCGGAUUGUAAAGCUCUGUCUUUUGGGACGAUAAUGACGGUACCAAAGGAGGAAGCCACGGCUAACUACGUGCCAGCAGCCGCGGUAAUACGUAGGUGGCGAGCGUUGUCCGGAUUUACUGGGCGUAAAGGGUGCGUAGGCGGAUGUUUAAGUGAGAUGUGAAAUACCCGGGCUUAACUUGGGUGCUGCAUUUCAAACUGGAUAUCUAGAGUGCAGGAGAGGAGAAUGGAAUUCCUAAUGUAGCGGUGAAAUGCGUAGAGAUUAGGAAGAACACCAGUGGCGAAGGCGAUUCUCUGGACUGUAACUGACGCUGAGGCACGAAAGCGUGGGUAGCAAACAGGAUUAGAUACCCUGGUAGUCCACGCCGUAAACGAUGAGUACUAGGUGUAGGAGGUAUCGACCCCUUCUGUGCCGCAGUAAACACAUUAAGUACUCCGCCUGGGAAGUACGAUCGCAAGAUUAAAAC
rnacentral:rRNA from 1 species